UACGAAGGGGGCUAGCGUUGCUCGGAAUCACUGGGCGUAAAGGGUGCGUAGGCGGGUUUUUAAGUCAGGGGUGAAAUCCUGGAGCUCAACUCCAGAACUGCCCUUGAAACUGUAUGGCUUGAGUACGAGAGAGGUGAGUGGAAUUCCCAGUGUAGAGGUGAAAUUCGUAGAUAUUGGGAAGAACACCGGUGGCGAAGGCGGCUCACCGGCUCGUAACUGACGCUCAUGCACGACAGCGUGGGGAUCAAACAGG
rnacentral:rRNA from 1 species